rnacentral:rRNA from 1 species
UACGUAGGGUGCGAGCGUUAAUCGGAAUUACUGGGCGUAAAGCGUGCGCAGGCGGUUGUGCAAGACAGAUGUGAAAUCCCCGGGCUCAACCUGGGAACUGCAUCCGAAACUGCCUUGCUCGAGUAUGGGAGAGGGAAGUGGAAUUUCCGGUGUAGCGGUGAAAUGCGUAGAUAUCGGAAGGAACAUCAGUGGCGAAAGGCGGG